rnacentral:misc_RNA from 1 species
CCGAGUUUACAACUCCCCAAACCCUGUGAACAUACCCACUUGUUGCCUCGGCGGAUUCAGCCCCGCUCCCGGUAAAAACGGGACGGCCCGCCAGGGAGGACCCCCUAAACUCCUGUUUCUAUAUGUAACUUCUGAGUAAAAACCAUAAAUAAAUCA